rnacentral:misc_RNA from 1 species
GUGAUUAAUCGAGCGUGUCUUCAUUGACCGCUCACCCUUCUCACCAUCCACAUACACCUGUGCACUGUUUAGCCUGAGCCGGUUUUCCGGUCCAGGUUAUCAUUUCAUACAAACUCUAGUCUUAUGAAUGUAAACGUUUAAUAACAUAAUA